rnacentral:tRNA from 1 species
AAAAUUUUAAGUUAAUUUAAACUUUAAUUUUUCAAAAAUUAAUAUAUAUAAAUUUUA